rnacentral:rRNA from 1 species
UGGGGAAUUUUGGACAAUGGGCGAAAGCCUGAUCCAGCAAUGCCGCGUGUGUGAAGAAGGCCUUCGGGUUGUAAAGCACUUUUGUCCGGAAAGAAAUCCUUGGCUCUAAUACAGUCGGGGAUGACGGUACCGGAAGAAUAAGCACCGGCUAACUACGUGCCAGCAGCCGCGGUAAUACGUAGGGUGCAAGCGUUAAUCGGAAUUACUGGGCGUAAAGCGUGCGCAGGCGGUUUGCUAAGACCGAUGUGAAAUCCCCGGGCUCAACCUGGGAACUGCAUUGGUGACUGGCAGGCUAGAGUAUGGCAGAGGGGGGUAGAAUUCCACGUGUAGCAGUGAAAUGCGUAGAGAUGUGGAGGAAUACCGAUGGCGAAGGCAGCCCCCUGGGCCAAUACUGACGCUCAUGCACGAAAGCGUGGGGAGCAAACAGGAUUAGAUACCCCUGGUAGUCCACGCCCUAAACGAUGUCAACUAGUUGUUGGGGAUUCAUUUCCUUAGUAACGUAGCUAACGCGUGAAGUUGACCGCCUGGGGAGUACGGUCGCAAGAUU